ensembl:snoRNA SNORA73 Small nucleolar RNA SNORA73 family
UCAGGUAUAAGAAACUUUUUAUCUCUCCCCGGGCUCUGUCCAGGUGGCAUAGGGGAGCAUAGGGUUCUGCCCCAUGAUAUACAGUCCCUUUCCACAACACUGGAGAAGAAGCUGGGCUUUGUGUCUGCGCCUGCAUAUUCCUAAAACUUCUCAGAGUCCUUUGGGCAAUGACUGAGGAGAUAAACCAUGCAGGAAACAAUA